CUACCCUUGACAUGUCCGGAAGGCUGCUGAAAGGCGGCUGUGCCCGAAAGGGAACUGGAACACAGGUGCUGCAUGGCUGUCGUCAGCUCGUGUCGUGAGAUGUUGGGUUAAGUCCCGCAACGAGCGCAACCCUUGUCAUUAGUUGCUACAUUCAGUUGGGCACUCUAAUGAGACUGCCGGUGACAAACCGGAGGAAGGUGGGGAUGACGUCAAGUCCUCAUGGCCCUUAUGGGUAGGGCUUCACACGUAAUACAAUGGCGCGUACAGAGGGUUGCCAAGGGGUGACCUGGAGCCAAUCCCACAAAGCGCGUCGUAGUCCGGAUUGCAGUCUGCAACUCGACUGCAUGAAGUCGGAAUCGCUAGUAAUCGCGGAUCAGCAUGUCGCGGUGAAUACGUUCCC
rnacentral:rRNA from 1 species